rnacentral:rRNA from 1 species
GAUGAACGCUGGCGGCGUGCCUAAUACAUGCAAGUCGAGCGAACGGACGAUAAGCUUGCUUUUCUGAUGUUAGCGGCGGACGGGUGAGUAACACGUGGAUAACCUACCUAUAAGACUGGGAUAACUUCGGGAAACCGGAGCUAAUACCGGAUAAUAUUUUGAACCGCAUGGUUCAAAAGUGAAAGACGGUCUUGCUGUCACUUAUAGAUGGAUCCGCGCUGCAUUAGCUAGUUGGUAAGGUAACGGCUUACCAAGGCAACGAUGCAUAGCCGACCUGAGAGGAUGAUCGGCCACACUGGAACUGAGACACGGUCCAGACUCCUACGGGAGGCAGCAGUAGGGAAUCUUCCGCAAUGGGCGAAAGCCUGACGGAGCAACGCCGCGUGAGUGAUGAAGGUCUUCGGAUCGUAAAACUCUGUUAUUAGGGAAGAACAUAUGUGUAAGUAACUGUGCACAUCUUGACGGUACCUAAUCAGAAAGCCACGGCUAACUACGUG